UAGGGAAUCUUCCGCAAUGGGCGAAAGCCUGACGGAGCAACGCCGCGUGAGUGAUGAAGGUCUUCGGAUCGUAAAACUCUGUUAUUAGGGAAGAACAAAUGUGUAAGUAACUAUGCACGUCUUGACGGUACCUAAUCAGAAAGCCACGGCUAACUACGUGCCAGCAGCCGCGGUAAUACGUAGGUGGCAAGCGUUAUCCGGAAUUAUUGGGCGUAAAGCGCGCGUAGGCGGUUUUUUAAGUCUGAUGUGAAAGCCCACGGCUCAACCGUGAGGGGUCAUUGGAAACUGGAAAACUUGACUGCAGAAGAGGAAAGUGGAAUUCCAUGUGUAGCGGUGGAAUUCGCAGAGAUAUGGGGGGACACCAGUGGCGAAGGCGACUUUCUGGUCUGUUACUGACGCUGAUGUGCGAAAGCGUGGGGAUCAAACCGG
rnacentral:rRNA from 1 species